UACGUAGGUGGCAAGCGUUGUCCGGAUUUACUGGGCGUAAAGAGCGCGCAGGCGGUCGUUCAAGUCGAGUGUGAAAUCCCUCGGCUCAACCGGGGAACUGCGUCCGAUACUGGUGGGCUCGAAUCCGGGAGAGGGAUGUGGAAUUCCAGGUGUAGCGGUGAAAUGCGUAGAUAUCUGGAGGAACACCGGUGGCGAAGGCGGCAUCCUGGACCGGUAUUGACGCUGAUGCGCGAAAGCCAGGGGAGCAAACGGG
rnacentral:rRNA from 1 species